rnacentral:misc_RNA from 1 species
CUGAAGACCAUAGGGUUUUGAGACUGCGUCCACAGUGGCGUGUGCUCGACCCUUACUCUUUCAUCCACACACACCUUUGUGCACUAUGGGACGCAAGUCCCCUUUUUACAUAAACACCUAGUUAUAUGCAUGUUUUUUAUGUACUCUACGGAGUAAUGUA